rnacentral:lncRNA from 1 species
CGGCGACCGUGACUCCAUCGACUCCAGCUUCUCCGGUGCAGGCGGAUUUUUGCACCAAUAGGAUUGACGCUAGAGGAAGGGGCUGUGUCUUCACAGUACCCUUGUUCUUAAAGGAGCGCUCAACGGGACCGUCUCCGAUCAUCUUCUCCGACAUCGACUCCUCCUUCCCCUACUUAGUCUUCGCCCGAUGCCUCCCCGUAGAGCAUCCACAUGGCGAUCCACGACCUCCGCGGU